rnacentral:rRNA from 1 species
GUUCCCUGUGAGUAGGCCCCUUCAUUGGGGUCGAAAGCGCCUACGCAUCAACCAUAUGCAUACGGGACGUCGGUCAAAGUUACUGUGAACAAACCAGCGUGUCCAAAGCAGGCUUUCGCCUGAAUGUUCGAGCAUGGAAUAACAAGGGAUCGAUUCUCUCGGUUCUUUUUGUUGGUUUUUAACCCGAGAAGGAGUAAUUCAGGCCACGGUGUCUGAGUUGGGUUUCCCGAGGCUUCGGCUGAGGCCCCAAUUAGGCCGUGUCCUUACGGGAUCAAUAGGGACUGACGGGGUCGUACGUACUUCCGCGUCAGAGGUGAAAUUCUUAGAUCGCGGGAAGAGGAACUUCUGCGAAAGCAUUCGACAAGAAUAUAUUCAUUAAUCAAGAACGAGAGUGUGGGGAUCCAAGAUGAUCAGAUACUGUCGUAGUCGUAGUGUCGCGUCGGCAUUGUAAACAAUGCCGUCUCAGGAUUGAGAAGUGAACAGAAUGACUUUCACAGCACUAACCCCUGAAACUAGAAAUCAAAGAUUAUUGGUUCAGGGGGGAGUACAUUCGCAAGGCUGCAACUUAAAGGGAUUAACGGAAUGACACCACAAGGCGUGGAGUAUGCGGCUUAAUUUGACUCAACA